UACGUAGGCAGCGAGCGUUGUUCGGAGUUACUGGGCGUAAAGCGUGCGUAGGCGGUUGUCUUAAGUUUGUUGUGAAAUCUCCCGGCUUAACCGGGAGGGUGCGGCGAAUAACUGAGAUGCUGGAGUGCCGGAGAGGUAAGCGGAAAUUCCUGGUGUAGCGGUGAAAUGCGUAGAUUAUCAGGAGGAACACCUGCGGUGUAGACGGUUCUGGGACGG
rnacentral:rRNA from 1 species